rnacentral:rRNA from 1 species
CCUACGGGUGGCAGCAGUGGGGAAUAUUGGACAAUGGGCGAAAGCCUGAUCCAGCCAUGCCGCGUGUGUGAAGAAGGCCUUAGGGUUGUAAAGCACUUUCAGUGGGGAAGAAAGCCUUGGGGCUAAUACCCUCGAGGAAGGACAUCACCCACAGAAGAAGCACCGGCUAACUCCGUGCCAGCAGCCGCGGUAAUACGGAGGGUGCGAGCGUUAAUCGGAAUUACUGGGCGUAAAGCGCGCGUAGGCGGUCUGUUAAGCCGGUUGUGAAAGCCCCGGGCUCAACCUGGGAACGGCAUUCGGAACUGUCAGGCUAGAGUGCAGGAGAGGAGGGUAGAAUUCCCGGUGUAGCGGUGAAAUGCGUAGAGAUCGGGAGGAAUACCAGUGGCGAAGGCGGCCUUCUGGACUGAGACUGACGCUGAGGUGCGAAAGCGUGGGUAGCAAACAGGAUUAGAUACCCGGGUAGUC